rnacentral:lncRNA from 1 species
GCCGUCUGACUGCCGUUCCGAGCGCUCGGUGCCUGGAGCCUGAGCUUUGGAGCCAGACCAAAGUGCGGCGGAGCGGCCUGGCCUUCUGACUCCCUUUCUGGGGCACCUUCGUGGAAACGCAUCCUCUUUCAACACUUCUGGAUGGGUGGGCUGGGAAAAUGGGUGCUUCCUGGUCCCUCUCCCCCUUCGAGGAGGGGCCUGGCCGUGUCCCUCCACACCAAUAACCCCAGAAUUCUUUCCCAUCUCUCUGCCUUCAGAAUUUCAGAGGAAAAAAAAUAUUCCCUAUCAGGGCUGUUAAAUAGUGAUAAUUUGGCAUAAAGUGUUCCUUGUAAUUCAUCCAAAUCCUCCGUGGGGCCUGAGAAGUGUGGGUCGAUAGGCCUUUCCUUUUCCUUAGUUUCCCCUGUAUAAUAAUGGGCUUGGCUGGGUUCUUUCUGGAAUCCCUCUGGAUCACUCUCCAUUAGGCUGGUCCUUCCCCAGUGACCCACUCACUCCUGCGAAGACAUCUGUCUCCCACCCUCAUCCCUUCUCUUCACGAAACUAGCAGGUGUCCUCAGCCCCAAACCCUGGCCAUGGAGCUGGGAAAUGGGUGGGAGAUGGACGUCCACACUCCUUCAACAUGCUCUUGGGCUUGUGGGUCACUAAACACCCCACCUCCUUCCCAGUUCCUCUUUAAGCUUUAGGGAAUCUCCCCUUUUUGUCAUACUGGUGAUUGAGUCCAAGGGUGCUCUAGCACUGCUACAUCCCCAGUCCUUUUUAUUUUUAAAAUUUUAGAGGAAGUUUUGCUGAGUUGCCCAGGCUGGCUGGAAUUUGAGAUCCUCCUGCCUUAGCCUUUGGAGUGCCUGGGAUUACAGGCAUGGGCCACCACCACCCACCAAACCAUAGGAUUCCUUGAUGCCCUGGACACUAGGGAGGGUGGUGCUGGCUUCCAGCUCUACCAGGGACAUCAGGGAUGGUGACUUGAGGAAGGGUGAAGGUGAAAUUGACAAUUUCAGGGCCUCCAAAUGCCCAAGACAUCUUCAUGGGCUGACACAACUUGCAAGGCAAGAGAAUCAUGUCCACCUCUUCCAGGAAGGGAACUGCUCCAGCUAUGCUAAACUUGAGGGGGUGGUAGAGGAAUAGGGGGCUUGGUCAGUGUACAAGUGGGAGAACACAGAGGACUGUCCAACUCCCCAAGGGUAAGUUCUUUUUUCCGGGUCUCUGACCUGCUGGAGUGUUAGAAGAAUCAGGCGAGAAGAGGGAAGCCCCUUUCCCAGCUCAAAUAUAAUCCUUCGUGAACCGUGUGUUUAUUCGUGGUUGCUUUGGACUUAAACACCUCUAAAAUUCGUAGAGCAGGGGUGGUAUUGGCUUCUAGCGGCUUCUCACUUUUAGCGUGACUAGUGACUUGAGGAAGGAGUUGUUAGCUGCCAAUCUACCGCGGCCUGCGGAUAGGGCUACUGACACUAGGGGGCAGCACCCGCCUGAGGCCGUGUGCAAGGCCGCAGGCGGAGCUGGGAACCCGAGGGCGCUGGCUGAGAAGGCGGGGCGGGGCGGCCCGGUGCCGCUGCAUUCUAGCCGUUGCUGUAGCAACCGGGUGGGGCGGUGGUGUUUCAGCGCCACCGGAGAGUCGACCCGCCCCCCUGCCUCCCGCUGCACACAUCCUCAGCCCAAGUCGCCCACCCGCGCUCCGCUGGGCCCCAGCUGCGAGUCUGAGUGCG